rnacentral:rRNA from 1 species
UUUAUUGGAGAGUUUGAUCCUGGCUCAGGACGAACGCUGGCGGCGUGCCUAAUACAUGCAAGUCGAGCGAGUCCCUUCGGGGGCUAGCGGCGGACGGGUGAGUAACACGUAGGCAACCUGCCUCUCAGACUGGGAUAACAUAGGGAAACUUAUGCUAAUACCGGAUAGGUUUUUGGAUCGCAUGAUCUGAAAAGAAAAGAUGGCUUUUCGCUAUCACUGGGAGAUGGGCCUGCGGCGCAUUAGCUAGUUGGUGGGGUAACGGCCUACCAAGGCGACGAUGCGUAGCCGACCUGAGAGGGUGACCGGCCACACUGGGACUGAGACACGGCCCAGACUCCUACGGGAGGCAGCAGUAGGGAAUUUUCCACAAUGGACGAAAGUCUGAUGGAGCAACGCCGCGUGAACGAUGAAGG